GACGAACGCUGGCGGCGUGCUUAACACAUGCAAGUCGAACGGUUAUGCUCCAGCGUGCUGGUGUGGAUAAGUGGCGAACGGGUGAGUAACACGUGAGCAACCUGCCCCAGACUCUGGAAUAAGCGCUGGAAACGGCGUCUAAUACUGGAUACGAAACUGGCCCGCAUGGGCUUGGUUUUGAAAGUUGUUCGGUUUGGGAUGGGCUCGCGGCCUAUCAGCUUGUUGGUGAGGUAAUGACUCACCAAGGCGAGGACGGGUAGCCGGCCUGAGAGGGCGACCGGCCACACUGGGACUGAGAGACGGCCCAGACUCCUACGGGAGGCAGCAGUGGGGAAUAUUGCACAAUGGGCGAAAGCCUGAUGCAGCGACGCCGCGUGAGGGAUGACGGCCUUCGGGUUGUAAACCUCUUUCAGCAGGGAAGAAGCGAAAGUGACGGUACCUGCAGAAGAAGCACCGGCUAACUACGUG
rnacentral:rRNA from 1 species